ACGAAGGGGGCUAGCGUUGUUCGGAUUUACUGGGCGUAAAGCGCGCGUAGGCGGAUCACUAAGUCAGGGGUGAAAUCCCGAGGCUUAACCUCGGAACUGCCUUUGAUACUGGAGAUCUGGAGAUCGGGAGAGGUUGGUGGAAUUCCGAGUGUAGUGGUGAAAUUCGUAGAUAUUCGGAGGAACACCAGAAGCGAAGGCGGCCAACUGGCCCGAUACUGACGCUGAGGCGCGAAGGCGUGGGGAGCAAACAGGA
rnacentral:rRNA from 1 species